rnacentral:rRNA from 1 species
CAGCAGCCGCGGGAAUACAGAGGGUGCAAGCGUUAAUCGGAAUUACUGGGCGUAAAGCGCGCGUAGGUGGUUUGUUAAGUUGGAUGUGAAAGCCCCGGGCUCAACCUGGGAACUGCAUCCAAAACUGGCAAGCUAGAGUACGGUAGAGGGUGGUGGAAUUUCCUGUGUAGCGGUGAAAUGCGUAGAUAUAGGAAGGAACACCAGUGGCGAAGGCGACCACCUGGACUGAUACUGACACUGAGGUGCGAAAGCGUGGGGAGCAAACAGGAUUAGAUACCCGCGUAGUCCCUGUCUCUUAUAU